rnacentral:rRNA from 1 species
AUUGAACGCUGGCGGCAUGCCUUACACAUGCAAGUCGAACGGCAGCACGGGUGCUUGCUCCUGGUGGCGAGUGGCGCACGGGUGAGUAAUACAUCGGAACAUGCCCUGUUGUGGGGGAGAGCCCGGCGUAAGCCGGAUUAAUACUGCAUACUAUCCACGUAUGACAGCGGUGUUCCUUCUGACCUCGCGCUUUGCGGUUCGCCGAUGGCUGAUUAGCUAGUUUGAGGGGUAAAGUCCUACCAAGGCUAAGCUCAGUAUCUGGUCUUAGAGGACGACCGGCCACACUGGGACUGGGACACGGCCCAGACUCCUACGGGAGGCAGCAGAGGGGAAUUUUGGAAAAUGGGCGAAGGCCUGAUCAAGCAAUGCCGCGUGGGUGAAGAGGGCCUUCGGGUUGUAAAGCACUUUGGUCCGGAAAGACGUUCUUGACUCUAGAACAGUCGGGGGAUGACGGUACCGGAAGAAUAAGCAACGGCUAACUACGUG